GCGUCACUGUAGGUGCACUAUGCCACCCUACGUUCCCCGCCCUCCGAAGACUACGAAUCUGGGGGUCAGAGGUUCGAAUCCUUUCGGGCGCGCCA
rnacentral:tRNA from 1 species